rnacentral:rRNA from 1 species
GACGAACGCUGGCGGCGCGCCUAACACAUGCAAGUCGAACGAGCGAGAGAGAGCUUGCUUUCUCGAGCGAGUGGCGAACGGGUGAGUAACGCGUGAGGAACCUGCCUCAAAGAGGGGGACAACAGUUGGAAACGACUGCUAAUACCGCAUAAGCCCACGGGUCGGCAUCGACCAGAGGGAAAAGGAGCAAUCCGCUUUGAGAUGGCCUCGCGUCCGAUUAGCUGGUUGGUGAGGUAACGGCCCACCAAGGCGACGAUCAGUAGCCGACCUGAGAGGGUGACCGGCCACAUUGGGACUGAGACACGGCCCAAACUCCUACGGGAGGCAGCAGUGGGGAAUAUUGCACAAUGGGGGAAACCCUGAUGCAGCGACGCCGCGUGAGCGAAGAAGUAUUCGGUAUGUAAAGCUCUAUCAGCAGGGAGAAAAAAUGACGGUACCUGACUAAGAAGCACCGGCUAAAUACGUG